ensembl:lncRNA
AUGGAGGAGGAACUUAGGGAAUUAGUGGUCCAGUUGAAGGCAGACAAUGAACGGUUGCGCCAGGAAAGCGCUCUCGCGUUGCCUGGCCUUAGUACAUCUUAUGUGCCCGAUCCUGAGCCGGUUGUGCCUCCUCUAGGCGUUUCGGGUGCCAAUCCGUCUGAAAGAUUUGUGUUUGUACCCCGUGACCGGAAGUGUCCCCGAUGUAGUGGUAGGUCUGGUAUUGGCCUCAACGAAUGGAUUGAGGAGGCACAGGCUUGUAUUCGGGCUCGUCAUUUGUCAAUUGGUGAGCAGGCGUUUUUUCUAUUUGACCAUUUAGACGGGGAAGCUCGAGACGAGAUCCGGUAUCGUUCGGAAGUUGAACGAGGGGAUCCCGAAAAGAUUUUUUCCGCUUUACGUGAGGUUUUUGGCUGCUCACAGUCCCACGUGGCACUGCAGGAGGCGUUCUUUUCCAGACGACAGUUAGAGGGGGAGAGUCUAUUGGAGUUUUCGCUCGCUCUGAUGGGUCUUAUGGAAAAAGUAAAGCAGUGGUUUUCUGGGGCUGUUUUAAAUGCUCCCAUAUUACUGCGUGACCAGUUUGUCGAGCAUGUCGUCGAUAAUGCCCUCCGGCGCGAACUUAAGCAGUUAGUUCGCCGUCAACCAAAUACCACGCUAUUAGAAGUACGUAGUGAGGCAAUCCGGUGGGAACAGGAAGGUUUGCCUGGGGGUGCGAUGGCUCGUAGCCAGUCUGUCCCAUUUUCAUAUGGGAUUCAAUAUGGUGUGCAGGGGGGGCAGCGUUCUGUUACAAAUGAGUCUUUGUUGUCUGAAUUGAGCGAAUUACGAGAAAUGUUAAAAGCACAACAAAAUCAGUUGAAUCAGCUGACUCAAAGCUUUGCCCAAUGUCAAGGCGCGCGUUCACGUAUUCACUCUCUGCGCUACGGACCGGUGAUUUGUAGGCGGUGCCAUCAACCUGACCAUUUUGCCAGGGAGUGUAAUUUAUCACUGCCUGACACUUUGACCUCUGGUUCUUUGUCUUCUGAUCCCUCGCAUUCUGACCCUACCGCGUCAUCUGUAGCAAGAGGGCCACAUCAUUCAAGCUCGGCUGGGGUAAUUAGGGGCUCGAUGUCCCAUUUAAUGUCUGGCUGCCCACAAUUGGUGGUUAAGAUUGGGGGAGUAGGG